rnacentral:rRNA from 1 species
AAGAAAUACCGAUGCGGGACCCUACGGGUGCCGCGUUCGGAAUGAGUACGAUUCGAACCACCUAACGAGGAACGAUUCGGAGGGCAAGUCUGGUGCCAGCAGCCGCGGUAAUUCCAGCUCCAAUAGCGUACGUUAAAAGUUGCUGCAGUUAAAAAGCUCGUAGUUGAACGUUCGGGUUCCGCGGGACGGGGCCGCCCCGCGAGGGACGGCGCCGCCCCGGGGCUCGUGAUAUCUUAUCUCGCCGCCCGUCGCGAGGCGGACGGAGGGAUGGAUGAGGUUACCUGGAAAAAAUCGGGGCGAUCUAGGCGGGCGAACCUCGCCAACGAACGAUCGGACAUGGGAUAACGGAAGAGGGCGUCGGCUCGACUUCGUCGGUUCCUCGGGCCGAGGCACGUACGGUGAAUAGGGACGGUCGGGGCCGCCCGUACGGGUCGUGAGAGGUGAAAUUCUAGGAUCGACCCGAGACGAACUGCCGCGAAAGCAUUCGGCAAGGACGCUUUUCAUUAAUCAAGAACGAAGUCGGGGAUCGAAGACGAUCAGAUACCGUCGUAGUCCCGACGUAACGAUGCCGA